GAAUUUAGAAAGAUAUCACAUUGCAAUGAUACAUCAAUCAAAUCUGUAAAUUACUUUUUUUUAUUAUUAUUCAAAAAGAAACACUCUGCAAGAGGAAAUGCUCUAAUACGGGUAAGACAGAAUCAUAGAAUGAAUCAUAGAAUGGCCUGGGUUGAAAAGGACCACAAUGAUCAUCGAGUUUCAACCCCCUGCUAUGUGCAGGGUCACCAACCACCAGACCAGGCUGCCCAGAGCCAUAUCAUAGAAUCAAAGAAUCAUAGAAUCACUCAGGUUGGAAAAGACCUUAAAGAUCAUAGAGUCCAACCAGGACCUAACCACACUACCCUAACUCGAACAACCCUCUGCUAAAUCAUGUCCCUGAGCACCACAUCCAAACGGUUGUUAAACACAUUAAACCACCUCCCUGGGCAGCCCAUUCCAGUGCUUAACAAUCCUUUCUGUAAAGAAGUGUUUCCUGAUAUCCAACCUAAACUUACCCUGCACUACUUGAGGCCAUUUCCCCUCAUCCUGUCACCUGUCAGCAGUGAGAAGAGAUCAGCCCCGCUCUCUCUGUAACCACCUUUCAGAUAUUGGAAGAGAGCAUUAAGGUCUCCCCUCUGCCUCCUUUUCCCAGACCAAACAGCCUCAGUUCCUUCAGUCUCUCCUCAUAGGCCAUAUUCUCCAAGCCCUUCACAGGCCUUGUUGAAAUCCAGCCUGGCCUUGAAUGCCUGCAGGGAUGGGGCAUCCACAGUUUCCUUGGGCAACCUGUUCCAGUGCAUUACCACCCUCUGGGUGAAAAACUUCCUAAUAUCCAACCUAAACCUCCCCUGUCUCAGUUUAAAACCAUUCCCCCUUGUCCUAUCACUUUUCAACCCCAUAAACAGCCUUUUCCCCUCCUGUUUAUACGCCCCCUUCAAAUACUGGAAGGCCACAAUGAGGUCCCCCUGGAGCCUUCUCUUCUCCAAGCUAAACAAGCCCAGUUCCCUCAACCUUUCCUCAUAGGAGAGGUGCUCCAGCCCCCUGAUCAUCUUAGUGGCCCUCCUCUGGACCUGUUCCAAGAGUAUUGUGUUUCUAUGCAUUUCUCCAACUGCAUCCAUGCCUCGGACAACCACAUUAGACUUGGCACUGUGUAAUGUUUUGAAAAACCCCAAAGCUGUAACUUUUUAAAUAAGUGAGGGUUGGCCUAACUGUGCAUGUACUCUGCUGGAGAACGUCCAAGCAGCCCAAAAGAAAUCACUCAGGGGAGUU
ensembl:lncRNA